UACCUACGGGAGGCAGCAGUGGGGGAUAUUGGACAAUGGGGGGAACCCUGAUCCAGCGACGCCGCGUGAGUGAAGAAGUAUUUAGGUAUGUAAAGCUCUGUCAGCAGGGAAGAAAGCAAUGAUGGUACCUGACCAAGAAGCCCCGGCUAACUACGUGCCAGCAGCCGCGGUAAUACGUAGGGGGCAAGCGUUAUCCGGAUUUACUGGGUGUAAAGGGAGCGCAGGCGGCCUGGCAAGCCUGAUGUGAAAUACCGGGGCCCAACCCCGGGGCUGCAUUGGGAACUGCCAGGCUGGAGUGCCGGGGG
rnacentral:rRNA from 1 species